GCCAGCAUCAAUCGUCACAUUGUCUCUCGACCGUUGUCUGAAUCAGCACGCAACAUCCAGCUGUAUAUUGAAAGGAAGGAGAACGACUUGAAGGCAUCCAUAAUAAGAAUUUAUAUCAUCCCUAUACAAGAGGACUGACUCCAUUACUUUUUUAUUUAAACCGCAGACCAACAAAGAGAAACAAAACAGUGAAACGCACAUAGCGAUACGUAACGAAUAUCCUGCAUCCACCGUUGGAUUUGUCGUUUGAAAUUUUAAAGCGACGUAAAGAAACGGAAAUCAGUCUAGCUUCAAGACAAGUAAAAUCCCUUGGGAGUCCAACGAAACUUUCCAGUUUCUCCAAUUGCAUUCUCAGCAUUGAGGGGUAAAGAGAGUCAGAAACUGGUGUACACAAUCCACGAUGCAAAGUGCGAGGACGAAGAUGGUAGAGAUGGAAGAAAACGGAAGAGAGAGUUUCGAAUGUACGAAGAUAUACAAAGGAGAAACGCAGAGUACAUAUAUUGAUACAGUAGAAAUACAGUACAUAAGACAGGCAAGCUCUGGAGCGUUUCAGUGUAUAAAGCCAUUCACCCCGUUCGCUGUCAUAAUUCCGGAAACCGCCAAGCGACAUGGCUGGAUGGUAAAGAUUGUAUCGGCGUUCAAUAUGAUUGGGCAAUUCUUUCUGACUGGUUGAGAGAAAGAAGAAGAAAAAAAUCCUUAAAAGGAAUGAUCAAUUAGGACAUUAAUAUGGGAAUUUAAUGAAGAAAUGAAAAUAUGAAUUCGCUAAAAAAAUUUUAUAUGUAAUUAAUUAUCGUAUAGGUAUAAUUAGCGCACGAUUAAUUAAGCUUGAAUUAUUAUUCGAGGAUGAACGGAGCUCUAGGAUCAUACGUACUCCGUGAGUGAUCGACGAUCAAUACCAAAAGUCCAGGUCAUUGUGCCGAAGGUGGUUAAGGAUCGUCAAGAGUGACCGGACAAAUGAAAGUUCUCCCUGGUAAACCAGAAACCCAGAAACACAGAAAGAUCCGAACUUCGUUUGCUGUACGGGCAUGGCAUUACUUGGAACGUUUUCGAGGUGUCUACACGCACCUUGGACACGGGAGUGUAAUUCCUACUGGAAUAUAAAUGAGCGAGUCUCAUUCGAGAGGAUCUGUCUAAGGGAAUAUUCGAUUAAUCGAAAAGCUUUACGAUGGGAGAUCGACAUUUUCAGAGGGUAUUACUGGUUGCAUGUUGAUUUGAAAAAAAAAAAUAGUAAAAUUAAUAGUAUUUUUUAGAAUUAUGAUUAGCGAUUAAAAAUUGAUUUACGGAUUUAUGGCAACUUGAAAUUUUUUUUUUUUUCAAGUUGCUACUUACUUAUUGCUUAUGAUGUAUUCUAGAAUUCUAACGCGGAGCCACUGUACGACUACUCGUUAACAAUGGUUAAUUGCAGCUUUGUCCGAUUCGCCGUAACGCACAAUGCAGCAGCCUCAAGUUUGACUAUAAUAAUAGAACGGCAAGGAAUAAUUAGCACUGUUCCAGGUAAUGCUUGGGCGAAUGUUAAUUAGCUGGCGCGAAUGCCAUACCGAAGAAUGCUUUCGAAGUGUUGCUUAGUUUUGAGAGUAAGGUGGGUGGUGGUAUGACUGUCUUUGAGAAAAUGACCGAGAAAUUCAACGAGACGGAAACAAAUUAUUUGGCUGAAGCUGAGAUGGGAAAUAAAAAAGUUUCUGAUAUUCGUAGAUUGUUUACAGUGAAUUGAUGUGUAUACAAAUUUUUUUUUUUAGAGAUCAAUUGAAAGUAUAUGGAAAUUUUGAUUUUGAAAAGAUGAACGAUAUAGACGUUGGAAAAUUAUGCAUUGUUGUUGUUCUUAUUAUUGUUGUAGGCAUUACGAUUUUUUUCGAUUGUAUCAUUUAUCUCGUGCUCCUUCUCGUAAAAGGUCACAACCUGAAAGGUAGGAAUCCUGGAGUCCUUGGAAAAUCGAAAAACAGGUCCUGAGCUCACGCAGAAGCCAACACGAGUGCACUGGGCCAUCGUGAUAAAUAAAACGGAACAUUCCACUGUGCGAAUACAGGCGGCUGGUGCACGGUACAAUUUAAACUGCAAAAAUUUCCGAGAUCGUACAACGUUCGAAGCUCGAAAAAUCGAGGUCGAUUGACAACGCGUACGUAAAUUAAACGACGAUUGACAAUUGUCUCGCCGGAUGAGCAAGAGAAUGGAGAAGGAAACAAAAUUUAGCGAAAAAAAUUAGGUUUGGUAAACUCAACGAAUCUAAUAAAAGUAUUAUCUACGUAGUAAAUAUGUGGGACUUAUGGAACCUGCAUGCGUGAAACCGGAAGUGCAGCGGAGCGUGAAGUUUCCCCUGGACGAUCCCGUAAGCUACUUCUGACUUUACGGUUAUAAAUCACUUUACAAUAGUCUGGCGGUGCGCGAUGCGCUGUAAUCUAAUUUUGCCAGCGAAUGCGUGAGAACGCGAUACAUGUGCAAUAGGGUUUUUUUUUUGAAGAAAA